rnacentral:tRNA from 1 species
CAAAAGAUAAUUUAAUUAAAAUAUUAACAUUGGAAGUUAGAAAUUGAGAUUUAAUUCUUAUCUUUUGA